rnacentral:rRNA from 1 species
AACGAACGCUGGCGGCAUGCCUAACACAUGCAAGUCGAACGAGAUCUUCGGGUCUAGUGGCGCACGGGUGCGUAACGCGUGGGAAUCUGCCCUUUGGUUCGGAAUAACAGUUGGAAACGACUGCUAAUACCGGAUGAUGACGAAAGUCCAAAGAUUUAUCGCCAGAGGAUGAGCCCGCGUAGGAUUAGCUAGUUGGUGUGGUAAAGGCGCACCAAGGCGACGAUCCUUAGCUGGUCUGAGAGGAUGAUCAGCCACACUGGGACUGAGACACGGCCCAGACUCCUACGGGAGGCAGCAGUGGGGAAUACUGGACAAUGGGCGAAAGCCUGAUCCAGCAAUGCCGCGUGAGUGAUGAAGGCCUUAGGGUUGUAAAGCUCUUUUACCCGGGAUGAUAAUGACAGUACCGGGAGAAUAAGCUCCGGCUAACUCUGUGCCAGCCGCCGCGGUAA